AGGAAAUACAGGAGCUAGGGGACAGCAAAGGCAGACAUCAGAGGGAGGUGAGACAAGCCGGGCUGCUUUGGGAAGAGAGAGUGGCACAGGCUGAGGCACCGAGGUCUGGAAUUGCACCAUGGGUUUUGAGAAACGUAGGUAAUGAGUCCAGUACAUGAUCACAGUGAAGCUUCAGCCACAUGGAGAGUCUUGUGUGAUCAUUCAUGGAGAUUGAACCUGACGUGAAGGGAAGAACAUUUGAUGGAUUCCAAGCAAGGGAGGGACUGGGACAUAUUUGCACUCCAGGGUGAAGCAUCAACAGAAAGGAAGCACCACUGGAGGUUACGAGGCCAUUUAGAGAGCUCUCUCAGCAAUCCGCACAAAUGAGGCUGCUCUAAGACAGAGGUACCCGGAAAGGUGGGAAGGAAAUAGAAUUGAGAGAAAUGAAGGAGCUUCUAUUGGUGUCUUCUUGGAUGUUGGAGAGGUGUGGAGAAGGGUGUCUGGGUCGCUGUUUCCAUCCAGGCACCAUUCACAAGGUAGUGAGACUAAAAGGAGGAUUAGGGUCAGGGGAGAGUUGAAAAGUCUGCUUUUAUAAUAUGUAUUUUCCCACACUUUCUACCCAAAUUCCAGUGAACUGGGUAUGAUUGUAGGAUGAAGUUUAUCUUCUGGCAAGGAAUUUUAGACACUCAAUAAAUGGACUUAUCCAAGGCUUCCACCUGGUUAUACCAAAUAUGGGAAUAUACUGGAGUUUUAUUUGCUCUAGCACAGAGUUCCUUUAACUGAACUAUGAAAGUUGAGUCCCUUUGACUGUACAUCUACUCACUGUGCCUUAGAAGGCAGGAUAUAUAGCAGAUGCUCCUUGGACAGAAUUCCUUCCCUUAUUCAGCGCAUGCUUAUGAAUGCCUCCCCUGAGCCAGGCAAGCUUGAGAUGCUAGGAAUUCAGCUGUGGAAGUUCAGCUCUCAAGAAGCUCACAUCUAGGGUGCGGAGUUAGAGAAAUCAGACCGGCACAUGAUACAGAAGGGACUAGGUGCUAUGGAGAGACGUGAGCUGGGGAGGGGAUAGCCUGUGUUGGGGUGGAGGCUGCUGCUUUAGAGAGAUGAGGGAAGGCCACUGGAAUCUGAUGCUGAGCAGAGAUCAGGGAUUUUAUAUAAGGGAAGUGAGGGAGUGAGUCGUGGCCACCUGAGGAGAGCAUUCCAGGAUAAGGAAACAGCAGGUGCAAAGGCACUGCUGCAGGGAGGUGCUUGGUAUAUCCAGGGAGUGUGGAGAAGUCCCGUGUGGUGGCUGCAGAGGGAGCAGGGGGAGGAUGGUGGGAGGUGAGAAUGGAGACCUCUGAGGUAGGUCCUCGAGAGCCUUAGAGGCCACGCGAAUUGCAUGGGACCCACUGGAGGGAGCCAUUCCCAGAGCCAUGACAGGUUGGGACCUGCCUGCAAAGGACCACAUUCUGGCCGUGGGGAAGGGCAGAAGCAGGAGACCAAUUUGGAGGCUGGGACCUGGGGCCUGGGGCCUAGGACAGGCAUGGUGAGCAGUGGUCAGUUUCUGAAUCCAUUCUCAGGGUAGACACAAUAGGACUGGUGAUUGAUUGAAUAUGAGAUGUGAGACAAAGACAAAUGCCAAGGACGGCUCCAAGGGUUUUUCCUGAACAGCUGCCAGGAUGAAGUUGGCAUUUAUUUAGGUGGAGGAAGAAAGGAAGGAGCAGGUUUGGGAGCUGGAGAUAGAGAUUCGUUUUUGAAAGUGUUAAUUUGAGAUGUUCAAUUAGACACAGAGUGGAGAUGCCAAAUAGACAAUUAUACAGGAGUCUGGUGCUGAGUGUUGAGGUCUGGGAUGGAGACAUCACCCUGAGGGUCCUUGGCAUUUAAAUGCUGUUUAAAACCAGGAGGCUAGAUGAGCUCACCAAGGGAGAGGGAAGGGAUAGAAGAGGGAGAGGGUCUGAGGACUCAGCCCUGGAGCAUAGAUAAUUAACAGGCAGAUGGGGAGAAACUGGGAGAGGGGACUGAGAAGGAACAGCAGGCAAGAGAAAGAGGGCUAAGGGAGAGCCAUGACCUACAAUCAGGUCAAGAAGCAUUUCUACAGGAGAGAUUUAUGCUGCCGAUCUUCCAAUAGAUCAAGUAGCGUGGAGACCACUGAGACCCAGCCACUGGAGACCAUUAGCCUAGGGAGGUCAUUGGUGUCCUUGCCAAGCCCUGUUUUGGUUCUGGGUCCAGGAGACAGAGUGUAGUCAGAGGAGAGGAAUCACAGACAGCCCAGUGCAGACAACAGGCAACUCUUUCAAGGAGUCAUCUUAUAAAGCAACUAGAACAGUACCUGGCAGACACAAGACACGUAAUACAUAUUUUUGAAUGAGGAACUUGGCUCCAGAAGCCAUGAGAAUAACUUUGUUCCAACACAUUCAGGCUGCGGUCAGAAAGGGUGAGCUGGAAGCAGUGAGCUGGGAGAUAAUGAAACCAAAACACCAUUAUCAGGAAGCUUGAGAACAAGGCCACCUUUUAAGUAUCUAGAAAUUCCCAUUAAUUUCUUCCACACCUUGUUCCCCAUCCCACCUGAAGACUGAAGCUGAGAGGCUUUUUUCCCAGUCAUCUUGACCACAAGAUCAGUUCUCUCCGUGAACAUAAAGACAAAAUCGCUGUGACACCAACAGACAGAUUUUUUAACAAGUGGAAUCCAUGUCUCAUGUAAACAAUGUGCUACUGCCUGCCAUUGAGUUCUCUUCCCUCGUUUUCCUUUUUGAAGACUUAACCCCUUUCCCAAAGGGACAUGUGCUCAGGUUUCUUGACUCCACAGCAAUCCCUUCUGUUGUGUAAGGCAAACUGAUCACCUUUCACAACGAGACAAGAAGUGAUUUAAAUCAGAUGGUGACCCAAUGACAAUGUCUGUGCUGUGUCCUAUGGAGAAAACCAAAGCUGAAAUCCAGUAACAGGUGAUAGGAAGAUGUGGAGAUAGAAACUGACCUGAAUUCUGAAAAACAACAAGAGAAAAGGAAGUCUGAGAACAAGCUGGUGUUCUUCCAAAACCUGUUCAUUGUGUGAAUUCCUAGAAGAUAGCGUGACACCGAGAAACAGGCUGGAGUGACACACCCAAACAAUUAUGCUACCUGGAUCUGCCAAGGCAGGAGGACAAACUCAGCAGCCUGGAGAAUGGAGGACACAGUCCAGAGUUGCAACAACAGCAGCAAUUACUUUUGACCACUCACUAUCGGAAAACACUGCUUUAGGCUGUGGAAAUGCAGUAGUAGAAAAGCCAGGCAUAAUCCUUAUCCCCAUGGAGGCACUAUCUCCAUCCAAGGGCAGAGGACCUGCAAGCCCUGAGGUCUCCAGCUGAGGUUCCUCUCUGAAGGACAGUUGCACUUCAGGUCAUGCUGCAGUAUGAGAGAAGGCAGCGUGACAUCUUGAGUUUCUAAUGCUCACACCUGUCUCAGUGAAGCAUUUUUACAGAGUAAUCACCACCCCCCUCACACCCCCAACAAUGUCAUCAAGUCAUAAAUCUCCUUGGUUUGAAAUAUUGGAUUAAAAUAUGAUUAAACAAUAUGUCUCAAUGGAAAGUUAAGAUA
rnacentral:lncRNA from 1 species